CUUCACCGACCCCAGGUACAGCGGCUCGGUGCGGCCCUGGCCGUAGGUCGCCAGCAAUGCCUGCGCCUC
rnacentral:antisense_RNA from 1 species